ACUUAUAAUCGGAAAUGUAGUCUGUUGAGACCACGCCAGUUCUUGACGGAGGGUUAAAUCCCCUGGAAUGGGGUACAAGAUAGGGUGAAAGUCCCAUUCAAGCCUUCUGUCUGAGUGUACGGCCAGUCUUCAUUGAGUCGAGUUGCUUGGGAUUGCAGCUCAAAGUGGGUGGUAAAUUCCAUCUAAAGCUAAAUAUAGGUGAGAGACCGAUAGCAAACAAGUACCGUGAGGGAAAGAUGAAAAGAACUUUGAAAAGAGAGUUAAAGAGUACCUGAAAUUGCUAGAAUGGAACCGAUGGGAAGUAGUGUCUCGAUUCAAAGACCACGGAUGGAUCGAAAUUGACGAAAUACUUCUCAUCAUCCCGUCUUGAAACACGGACCAAGGAGUCUAACAUGUCUGCAAGUGCUUGGAGUUACCUCCGUGCGCGAAAUUAACGUAAAAUUUGCACUAUCGACCGACCAUGCUCCUACGGGAAAAAGGUUUGAGUGUGAGCACACAUGUUGGGACCCGAAAGAUGGUGAACUAUGCUUGAGUAGGACGAAGCCAGGGGAAACUCUGGUGGAGGUCCGUCGCGAUUCU
rnacentral:rRNA from 1 species